UAUGUGAAUUAUUGGGUCACUUGAUCUUUAUGAAUUAUAGUUCAGAUGAAAUCUGAGUACAAGCAGAAUUUCCAAUGGUAUAGAAGACAAAAAAAUUUAGUGUCUAGUGAAAGUAAAAAGAAGAAAAACAGAGCUAAGCCAAGGAAAUGAUUUCUUUCCCACCUACAAUGCAUGAAAAGAAAUUAACAUGAAAAGGGUCUGAGGAAGACAUUAAUAUUUUGAUAGUGGCAGAAGAAUGUUAUUUACAAAAAUAAUGACAAAUGUUGAAGAGAAAAUACAGGCUUCCUAGCAACUAGACCAAAGAUAAGCACCACAGUCUCCAUGGAAAUCAAUUGGUUCAUUCUUCGUCUUAAGAGUCCAGCAUUCACUCAACAAACAUCUUAUGCUGCCAGGUUUCUCUAAUGCAGCAGGUACGGUCACUAGGAAGAUUACAAACUUGGGUUAAAAAACCUAGAUCACGUUCAAGAUGUUGCAGCUGAGCAGUUACAAUCCAAGAAUAAGAAACCAAGGACAAAGGGAGAGAAUUAAUACAAAUGUCUUCUCUUUAACUAACAGGAGUUUUGUAAAUAAAUAAACAAAUAAAAACAAAAACACAAACAAAAAACUGUGAACGCUACAGGAAAUAAAAUCAAAGCCUGAGGCCCAGCACAGGGCAUUUCAGAUACUUCAUGAAAUGCCAUCCUUCCAAGAUAUCCUUACAAGUAGUCAGUGUCCAGCCACAGUAUCACUAUGUCACAUUGAUAUCAGGGCAUUUGAGGAAAAAUGGGUCCUUAGAAAGCUUUUUGCCCCCCUCCAUCUAGAGACUAAUGGUAUGCUCUACCCUGCAGAGACUAGGCCCAGACAGAAGGAUAUGCCACAGCAGGAGACAGGAUCCAGAAUGAGAAUAGACAAAAGACAUUUUCAAAAGUCCAGGUUCACAGCUUGACAGAAGCCUUCACACAGAAAGAGCCAUUGCACAUUGGACAGAUGAUCCCAGAAUGGAAGUUUCCAGAGGAAAUAACAGUCAAUAAACAGAAAA
rnacentral:lncRNA from 1 species